rnacentral:rRNA from 1 species
CUUGACACUGAACACUGAGCCUUGAUGUGUAGGAUAGGUGGGAGGCUUUGAAGCGUGGACGCCAGUCUGCGUGGAGCCGACCUUGAAAUACCACCCUUUAAUGUUUGGUGUUCUAACGUAGGCCCGUGAUCCGGGCUGCGGACAGUGUCUGGUGGGUAGUUUGACUGGGGCGGUCUCCUCCCAAAGCGUAACGGAGGAGCACGAAGG